rnacentral:rRNA from 1 species
GACGGUAGCACAGAGAGCUUGCUCUUGGGUGACGAGUGGCGGACGGGUGAGUAAUGUCUGGGGAUCUGCCCGAUAGAGGGGGAUAACCACUGGAAACGGUGGCUAAUACCGCAUAACGUCGCAAGACCAAAGAGGGGGACCUUCGGGCCUCUCACUAUCGGAUGAACCCAGAUGGGAUUAGCUAGUAGGCGGGGUAAUGGCCCACCUAGGCGACGAUCCCUAGCUGGUCUGAGAGGAUGACCAGCCACACUGGAACUGAGACACGGUCCAGACUCCUACGGGAGGCAGCAGUGGGGAAUAUUGCACAAUGGGCGCAAGCCUGAUGCAGCCAUGCCGCGUGUAUGAAGAAGGCCUUCGGGUUGUAAAGUACUUUCAGCGGGGAGGAAGGCGGUGAGGUUAAUAACCUCGCCGAUUGACGUUACCCGCAGAAGAAGCACCGGCUAACUCCGUGCCAGCAGCCGCGGUAAUACGGAGGGUGCAAGCGUUAAUCGGAAUUACUGGGCGUAAAGCGCACGCAGGCGGUCUGUUAAGUCAGAUGUGAAAUCCCCGGGCUUAACCUGGGAACUGCAUUUGAAACUGGCAGGCUUGAGUCUCGUAGAGGGGGGUAGAAUUCCAGGUGUAGCGGUGAAAUGCGUAGAGAUCUGGAGGAAUACCGGUGGCGAAGGCGGCCCCCUGGACGAAGACUGA